UACGUAGGGUGCGAGCGUUAAUCGGAAUUACUGGGCGUAAAGCGUGCGCAGGCGGUUCGUUGUGUCGGUGGUGAAAUCCCCGGGCUUAACCUGGGAAUGGCCAUGGAAACUGGCGAACUGGAGUGCGGAAGAGGGAAGCGGAAUUUCCGGUGUAGCGGUGAAAUGCGUAGAUAUCGGAAGGAACACCUGUGGUGUAGACGGCUUACUGGACUGCAACUGACGCUGAGGCACGAAAGCGUGGGUAGCAAACAGG
rnacentral:rRNA from 1 species